CAAAAAAAAAGGAAACUAAAUUUCCAAUUUAUGACUUACAUUCCCAAAUGCCAAUUAUCCCUCUCCCAAAUCAUGUUUUCAACUAUUAAUUCUUUAUUUGGUUUUAGAACAAACACAAUAUUUUAAUUGUUUAUUUUUGUUUCACAGUGUGGUGGUUGUCUCUUACUUUUCUGGUGAACAUUUCACGACACAAAAGAAUAAUUUCCUGACAAUACUGUAACAAAUCUUUGCACCUCUCUGUUUAUCUUGCCUAGGCACACACCUUAACAAAAUUUCUUUGGGUUGAGGUUGCUUUUUGGUACCUUUGCAGGGUGAUGCAUCCUCAGCCACUCUUCUGUGUUUUCCUGGUUCUGGGUUUAACAACUGUCUGGGGAUGACGCAAGAUGCUCACAGUGGCCCUGUCUCUUGGCGUGUCUGUCCCAGCUUCCUUUCCUGGCAGACACAUUGGUGCUGGUACUAAGGAGAAAAGGCACACAUGCAUCUUGUCCUCUGGUUUCUCUCAGGCUUGUGAAGGGAGAAUAACUAUCCCAAAGUGCAGGAAAAACCCACUUUAAUGAGGUAGUGUAUGAACUUGCAAAGGAAAAUACACAUCAGGCACAUAAGAGGCAAGUGCAGUGCCUUCUGAGAAGGUGGUGAUUAAGUACCUUAGCAGGAUGGGGAUUGGAGAAUCUCUCAAGUGAUUGACACAUGAGUCCAAUAUGUUUGUGACUCAGCACCACCUCUCCCUGCGUUUGUCAUCUUGAAUAUAUUUGUUCACUUAUUUCGUUUUUAUUAACUGUAUAAUGUAUUUUGUCAUUAGAGCUUGAAAGAUAAAAAACCACAAAUGUUUCUAAGAGGAAAGAAAGUGAUAGAUUUCAGAGAAAAUAACUUGUUUUAUAUUCCAUUGGUUAAAAAUUUUCAUUUACCUUUUUUAUUUUGUAGAGUGAAUGUAGGAAGAUUCUGAGGUCUGUUCUAUUUUAGCAUGAUUUCAAACUGAAUCUCAGAGCUUAGCUUUGGGAAUUCUACCUUAGGAAAAAAACAGAAGAAAUGUUUCUCAUUAUAGCUACAGAAAAGUAAAUACAUUUCUACAAAAAAGUAGGUUAACACACAAAUUACAAACAUUUAUGAAAACAUCAGUUCCUCUUGUGCAGAGUGGAGAAUUUUUGAGAGUGGGUACCUCAGUUCUGUUAUCUGAAUUUCAGUUUAAUAUUAAAUUUUAUGGAAUGAAACUUGGCAACUACUACAAGUGUUCAUACAUUAUUGUUUACUAUAUGAUUUGUUAUAAAAAUGAUAAUUAAAUGACUCAUUUACUGCCUGGAAAAGAUAGAUACUUUUAUUUUUUUGCUGAGAUAUAAAAUAAAAAUGCAAAAAUUUUCUGCCUAUAGCAUAAACACUGAGUUUGAGUAAUUUUGCUGGAUUUACUUAUCACUAGGUUUUUACUUAUUUAAAACUAAGUGAAUAUUCUUGACUUGAAAGCAGACAUAUGGCCUUAGAGAACCCAAGCAAAUAACCAUCCUAAUUCUGCAAAAGGGGGGUCACUGAAAGCCGAGUUAGUUCCUCUCGGGAAGUCUUCACUGCAGGUGUUCCAAUCUGUUUAAACCAACCGUGAAAGGAGCUCUUUAUGCAGAGUCUUGGAAAAAUUGGAAUCCACAGGGAAACUGGUGAGAUUUGGGAUGGGAGUAGGGGGGGUAAUGCCUUUUCUGAGGGUGUAAUUGUCGUUGUUUUGGGCUGUUUCUAGAUAAAUGUGAAAUAAAAUAUUUUCAAGUUAAGGUUAGAAGUAACUAUUGUAAAAGGAGUAUUGCAGUGAGAGAAACAUCAAACAUGAGAUCUGCCAGCAUCUCAAAGUUUAGGCAGACAAAGGCUUUUUUCCCUAGAGAGAAGCAAACAAGAUUAGAAAGAAGGUGGGAGGGAGAGGCCAGAUGGAGGAUGGCAAUAUCAGCUUUGAAAUCAGAAUGCGUUGCCCUGAAGUCAGCCUGUUCUUAAGAGGAGAAGAAAGAGAGGUUGUAUUUUGGCUCAGGCUGAGGUGGGUCAGAGUUCAGGAGCCUGGGGUAAGGAGAGAAACUUAAGCAAAGUUUGAUUAGUAAGUAUUUUGUUCUGAAGAAGAAAACUGUUCAUCUAAUUGUUCAUGAGGCAAAAAUGGGAAUUUGCACUGUCUGUGUUUCCUUUUGUGACAGGUAAAUAA